rnacentral:rRNA from 1 species
UAUCCAGACUCCUACGGGAGGCAGCAGUGGGGAAUAUUGCACAAUGGGGGAAACCCUGAUGCAGCGACGCCGCGUGAGUGAAGAAGUAUUUCGGUAUGUAAAGCUCUAUCAGCAGGGAAGAAAAUGACGGUACCUGAUUAAGAAGCCCCGGCUAACUACGUGCCAGCAGCCGCGGUAAUACGUAGGGGGCAAGCGUUAUCCGGAUUUACUGGGUGUAAAGGGAGCGUAGACGGCAGCACAAGUCUGGAGUGAAAUCCCGGGGCUUAACCCCGGAACUGCUUUGGAAACUGGCGAACUAGAGUGCGGGAGGGGUAAGCGGAAUUCCUAGUGUAGCGGUGAAAUGCGUAGAUAUUAGGAGGAACACCGGUGGCGAAGGCGGCUUACUGGACCGUAACUGACGUUGAGGCUCGAAAGCGUGGGGAGCAAACAGGAUUAGAUACCCCAGUA